rnacentral:rRNA from 1 species
GACGAACCGUGCGAACGUUGUUCGGAUUCACUGGGCUUAAAGGGCGCGUAGGCGGGCGGUCAAGUCGGGGGUGAAAUCUUUCCGCUUAACGGGAAGCGUGCCUCCGAUACUGAUCGCCUCGAGGGAGGUAGGGGCAUGUGGAACUUCCGGUGGAGCGGUGAAAUGCGUAGAUAUCGGAAGGAACGCCGGUGGCGAAAGCGACGUGCUGGACCUCUUCUGACGCUGAGGCGCGAAAGCGUGGGGAGCAAACAGG